UGGUUGAUCCUGUCAGUAAUCAUAUGCUUGUCUCAAAGAUUAAGCCAUGCAUGUCUAAGUAUAAACAACUUUGUACUGUGAAACUGCGAAUGGCUCAUUAAAUCACUUAUAGUUUAUUUGAUGGUAUCUUGCUACAUGGAUAACUGUGGUAAUUCUAGAGCUAAUACAUGCAAUCAAGCCCCAACUUCUGGAAGGGGUGUAUUUAUUAGAUAAAAAACCAACGCGGCUCGCCGCUCCCUUGGUGAUUCAUAAUAACUUCUCGAAUCGCAUGGCCUUGUGCCGGUGAUGCUUCAUUCAAAUAUCUGCCCUAUCAACUUUCGAUGGUAAGAUAAAGGCCUACCAUGGUUUCUACGGGUAACGGGGAAUAAGGGUUCGAUU
rnacentral:rRNA from 1 species